rnacentral:rRNA from 1 species
AUGGCCAUGGAACGCACACCACACAGCCACCCACCAACACAUCCAUGGCCGGCGCGGGCAAGCAGGCCAUCCGCAGGGGCGGGGAGCAGGGCGGCCGCGCUUGGCGGAUGCGAGGGCGGUGAGCAGGGCGGCGCCGCGGGUGGAGAGCAGGGCCGCCGCACUAGCAGCGAGCUUGGCGGAUGCUCAGGCGACGAGCUCGCCGGACGCGCGGGCGACGAGCAUGACGCGCAGCGGCAGCUCACUCCACCGUCGACUGCUCAGCGCAAGGGCGCGACUGCUUCUUCCCUCGGGCGCGCGGCGGACUCUUCACUCGGGCGCGCCGUGUCCACUUCCCUCGAGCAUGGCGCGUUACGGCAACUACAGAGGAGCUCCUCCCUCCGGCGUCGGCCACCCGACACUGCACUGGCGCGCGGCUGUCCCCCCCUCUCUCUCCAGGAACCAGCGAGCACGGUCGGGCGGCGGUGCGGGUACCAGGGUCGGGCGAGCGUGGCUGUCCUGUGA